rnacentral:rRNA from 1 species
AAUGGGCGCAAGCCUGAUCCAGCCAUGCCGCGUGAGUGAAGAAGGCCUUCGGGUUGUAAAGCUCUUUCGGUGGGGAAGAAAUUGCACGGGAUAAUACCCUGUGUAGAUGACGGUACCUGGAGAAGAAGCACCGGCUAACUACGUGCCAGCAGCCGCGGUAAUACGUAGGGUGCGAGCGUUAAUCGGAAUUACUGGGCGUAAAGCGUGCGCAGGCGGUUGGAUAAGUCAGAUGUGAAAUCCCCGGGCUCAACCUGGGAACUGCAUUUGAGACUGCCCAGCUGGAGUUUGGCAGAGGGGGGUGGAAUUCCACGUGUAGCAGUGAAAUGCGUAGAGAUGUGGAGGAACACCGAUGGCGAAGGCAGCCCCCUGGGCCAAUACUGACGCUCAUGCACGAAAGCGUGGGGAGCAAA